UACGAAGGGUGCAAGCGUUAGUCGGAAUUACUGGGCGUAAAGCGUGCGUAGGCGGUUUCUUAAGUCCGUUGUGAAAGCCCUGGGCUCAACCUGGGAACUGCAGUGGAUACUGAGAGGCUAGAGUGUGUCAGAGGAUGGUGGAAUUCCCGGUGUAGCGGUGAAAUGCGUAGAGAUCGGGAGGAACAUCAGUGGCGAAGGCGGCCAUCUGGGACAACACUGACGCUGAGGCGCGAAAGCGUGGGGAGCAAACAGG
rnacentral:rRNA from 1 species